GAUGAACGCUGGCGGCGUGCCUAACACAUGCAAGUCGAACGGAGUCGUUUUGGAAAUCUCUUCGGAGAUGGAAUUCUCGACUUAGUGGCGGACGGGUGAGUAACGCGUGAGCAAUCUGCCUUUAAGAGGGGGAUAACAGUCGGAAACGGCUGCUAAUACCGCAUAAAGCAUCAAAUUCGCAUGUUUUUGAUGCCAAAGGAGCAAUCCGCUUUUAGAUGAGCUCGCGUCUGAUUAGCUGGUUGGCGGGGUAACGGCCCACCAAGGCGACGAUCAGUAGCCGGACUGAGAGGUUGAACGGCCACAUUGGGACUGAGACACGGCCCAGACUCCUACGGGAGGCAGCAGUGGGGAAUAUUGCGCAAUGGGGGAAACCCUGACGCAGCAACGCCGCGUGAUUGAAGAAGGCCUUCGGGUUGUAAAGAUCUUUAAUCAGGGACGAAGAAAAUGACGGUAC
rnacentral:rRNA from 1 species